rnacentral:rRNA from 1 species
AGUGAACGCUGGCGGCAGGCCUAAUACAUGCAAGUCGAACGGCAGCACAGCAGAGCUUGCUCUGUGGGUGGCGAGUGGCGGACGGGUGAGGAAUACAUGGGAAUCUGCCCAGUCGUGGGGGAUAACGUAGGGAAACUUACGCUAAUACCGCAUGCGCCCUUCGGGGAAAGCCGGGGACCUUCGGGCCUGGCGCGAUUGGAUGAGCCCAUGUCGGAUUAGCUAGUUGGCGGGGUAAUGGCCCACCAAGGCGACGAUCCGUAGCUGGUCUGAGAGGAUGAUCAGCCACACUGGAACUGAGACACGGUCCAGACUCCUACGGGAGGCAGCAGUAGGGAAUAUUGGACAAUGGGCGCAAGCCUGAUCCAGCCAUGCCGCGUGAGUGAAGAAGGCUCUCGGGUUGUAAAGCUCUUUUGUCCGGAAAGAAAAAGCGCCGGGUUAA